rnacentral:rRNA from 1 species
AAAUUGAAGAGUUUGAUCAUGGCUCAGAUUGAACGCUGGCGGCAGGCCUAACACAUGCAAGUCGAACGGUAACAGGAAGCAGCUUGCUGCUUCGCUGACGAGUGGCGGACGGGUGAGUAAUGUCUGGGAAACUGCCUGAUGGAGGGGGAUAACUACUGGAAACGGUAGCUAAUACCGCAUAAUGUCGCAAGACCAAAGAGGGGGACCUUCGGGCCUCUUGCCAUCGGAUGUGCCCAGGUGGGAUUAGCUUGUUGGUGGGGUAA